rnacentral:rRNA from 1 species
GAGUUUGAUCUUGGCUCAGAUUGAACGCUGGCGGCAGGCCUAACACAUGCAAGUCGAGCGGUAGAGAGAAGCUUGCUUCUCUUGAGAGCGGCGGACGGGUGAGUAAUGCCUAGGAAUCUGCCUGGUAGUGGGGGAUAACGCUCGGAAACGGACGCUAAUACCGCAUACGUCCUACGGGAGAAAGCAGGGGACCUUCGGGCCUUGCGCUAUCAGAUGAGCCUAGGUCGGAUUAGCUAGUUGGUGAGGUAAUGGCUCACCAAGGCGACGAUCCGUAACUGGUCUGAGAGGAUGAUCAGUCACACUGGAACUGAGACACGGUCCAGACUCCUACGGGAGGCAGCAGUGGGGAAUAUUGGACAAUGGGCGAAAGCCUGAUCCAGCCAUGCCGCGUGUGUGAAGAAGGUCUUCGGAUUGUAAAGCACUUUAAGUUGGGAGGAAGGGCAGUAAAUUAAUACUUUGCUUGUUUUGACGUUACCGACAGAAUAAGCACCGGCUAACUCUGUGCCAGCA